GAAUAUUGGUCAAUGGACGCAAGUCUGAACCAGCCAUGCCGCGUGGAGGAUGAAGACCUUCGGGUCGUAAACUCCUUUCGACCGAGAUGAAUACCUUUCGACCUAAUACGUCGAGAGGCUGACAGUAUCGAGGGAAGCAGCCCCGGCUAACUCCGUGCCAGCAGCCGCGGUAAUACGGGGGGGGCAAGCGUUGUUCGGAAUUACUGGGCGUAAAGGGUUCGUAGGUGGCCAACUAAGUCAGACGUGAAAUCCCUCGGCUCAACCGGGGAACUGCGUCUGAUACUGGUUGGCUUGAGUGCAGGAGAGGAACGCGGAAUUCCAGGUGUAGCGGUGAAAUGCGUAGAUAUCUGGAGGAACACCGGUGGCGAAGGCGGCGUUCUGGACUGCAACUGACACUGAGGAACGAAAGCCAGGGGAGCAAAC
rnacentral:rRNA from 1 species